rnacentral:lncRNA from 10 species
GGGAGCCUUAAGGAAGAGACACAGGAACCUUGCUCCAAGGUUUGGGGCCUUACUGCCUGCCCAGGAGAGCCCUGAAUGCUUCCUGGAGGGAGAGGAUUCACUGGGAGACUCCCAGCAUUCCAUGCAGUCUCGCAGCUUCUCUGCUCUGCCUGCCUCAACGUCCCGCUGAGUUUCUGUGUCCCGCCCAUGAACCCGUGUUCGCUUGUGGGCGCCUUAAUGGAGAGACACAAGCACCUUGCUCCGAGGCCUGGAACUUUACAGCUUGCCCGGGAAAGCCCUGGGUCUUCUAGGGUGGAAGAGGCCUUUUGAAUCUGUGAAGAAGUAUUUCUCAGCCCACUGAAGCCUACAGUGAGAAACUGAAUAUACGAUGAUAAAAAGUAGAAAGAAGCUAUGUGUGAAAUUUCUUUGUGAUGUGUGGAUUCAGCUUACAGAGGUAAACCUUUCUUGUGAUUCAGCAGGUUGGAAACACUCUUUUUGGAGAAUCUGUGAAGGGACAUUACUGAGUCCACUAAGGCCUAUGGUGAAUAAAAGAAUAUCUUGUGAUAAAAACUAGAAAGAAGCUAUCUGUGAAGUGGCUUGUGAUGUGAGCCUUCAGCUCACAGAGUUAAGUCUUACUUUGGAUUCAGAUCAUUGGAAACACACAUUUGUAGAACCUGCAAAGGGACAUUUCAGAAACACUAGUCCUAAAGUGAACAACCAAAUAUUCCAUGAUUAAAAACUAGAAAGAAGGUAUCUGUGAAACUUUUUUGUGACGUAUGCAUUCGGCUCAAAGAGUUAAAACUUUCUUUGGAUUCACCAGUGGAAAGAUUCUUUUUGUACAAUCUUCAAAGGGACAUUUCUGAUCCCACUGAGGCCUGUAAUGAAAAAUUGAAUAUUCCACAAUAAUAAAUAGAAAGAAGUCAUCUGUUCAUCUAAUUUGUGAUGUAUGGAUUCAGCUCACAGAGAUAAACUUUUCUGUUGAUUUAGAAGGCUGGAAUAAUUCUUUUUAUAGAAUCUGCAAAGGGAUAUUUCAGAGCAAGCAGAAGUCUAUAAUGACAAACACAAUAUUCUGUGAUAAACACUAGAAAGAAUGUAUCUGUGAAAUGCUUUGUUAUGUAGACAUUCAGCUUACAGAAUUGAAAUUUUCCUUUUAUUCACCAGGUUGGAAAAACUCAUUUUGUAGAAUCUGCAAAGCUACAUUUUGGAGCCCAAUGUGACCUAUCAUGGGAAACAGAAUAUCCCAUGAUAAAAUCUAGAAAGAAGCUAUCUGUGAAACUGCUUUGUGAUCUGUAAAUUCAGUUCAAAAUGAUAAACAUUUCUUUUUAUUCAGCAGGUUGGAAACGCUCUUUUUGUAGAAUCUGUGAAUUAACAUUUUGGAGCGCACUGAGGCCUAUAGUGAAAAACUGAAAAUCCCACACUAAAAACUAGAAAGAAGCUAUCUGUGAAACUGCUUUGUGACAUGUGCAUUUCACUCACAGAGUUAAAUUCUUUCUGUGAUUCAGCAGGUUGGAAACAUUCUUUUUGGAGAAUCUAGGUAAAGGCAUUUCAGAGCCCACUGAGGACUAUAGUUUAAAACUGAAUAUCCUGCAAUAACCACUAGAAAGAAGCUGCCUGAAAAACUGCUUUGUGGUUGAAAACAUUCUCUUUGUAGAAUCUGAGAAGGAAUAUUUCAGAGCCCACUAAGACCUAUUAUGAAAAACUGAAUACUCCAUGAUAAAAACUAGAAAGAAAGUAUCCAUGAAACUGCUUUUUGAUGAGAGGAUUCAGCAAAUUGGAAGCACUCUUUUUGAAAAAUCUGUGAAGAAAUAUUUUGGAGCCCACUGAUGCCUAUAUUGAAGAAAAGAAUUUCCAUCAACAAAAGCUAGAAAGAAGCUAUCUGUGAAACUCCUUUGUGAUGUGUACAUUCAGAUCACAGAUAUAAACCGUUUUUUGAUUCAGCAGCAGGGUGAAAACACUUUUUUUGUUGAAUCUGCGAAAAGACAUUUCAUAGCCGACUGAAGCUGAUAGUGAAAAACAGCAUAUCCCAAGAUUAAAAGUCAAAAUAAGCUCUCUGUGAAACUACUUUGUGAUGGAUGGAUUAAGCUCACAGGGUUAAACCUUUGUUUUGAUUCUGCUGUUUAAAAACACUCUUUUUGUAGAAUAUGUGAAGAGACAUUUUGAAGCCGAUUGAGGACUGUAGUGAAAAACUGAAUAUCCCAAAAUAAAAAUUAGAAAGAAGCUACAUGUAAUACUACUUUGUAACGUGUGGAUUCAUCUCACAAAGUUAAACCUUUCUUUUGAUUCAGCAGUUUGGAAACACUCGUUUUGUAGAAUCUGCGAAGGGACUUUUGGAGCCCAUUGAGGCCUAUAGUGAAAAAAUUAAUAGCCCUAGUUAAAAAACUAGAAAGAUGCUAUCUCUGAAACCACUUAGUGAUGUGUGGAUUUAUCUCACAGAUUUAAACCUUUCUUUUGAUUCAGCAGGUUGGAAACACUCUUUUUGUUCAAUCUGCAAUGGCACAUUUCAGUGCCCAAUGUUGCCUAUAGUGAUAAAAAGGCACUCUUUUUGUAGAAACUGUGAAGGAACAUUUGGGACCUCACUGAGUUCUUACAUGAAAAGCAGAGUAUUCCUCAAUGAAAACUGGAAAGAAUCUAUCUGUGAAACUGCUUUGUGAUGUGUGGUUUCAGCUCACAGAAUUAAAACUUUUUUUUUAUUAUUCAGCUAGUUGAAGCAAUCAUUUUGUAGAUUUAUUUCAGAGCCCACUUACACCUAUAGUGAAAAACUGAAUAUAUUGGAGAAAACUAAAGCAAGCUAUUGUGAAAUUUGUUUGUGAUGUGUGGAUUCAGUUCACUGUGUUAAAACUUUCUUUUGACUCAGGAUGUUGGCAGCACUCUUUUUAUAUAAUCUCCAAAAGGAUAUUUCAGAGCUCAUUGAGGUUAUAGUGAAAAAACGAAUAUCUUAUAAUAAAAACUAGAAAGAAACUAUCUGUUAAACUGCUUUGUGAUGUGAGGAUUCAGCUCACAGAGUUAAAUGUUUCCUUCGAAGAAGUAGGUUGGAAACCUUUUUUUGCAGAAAAUGUGAAGGGACAUUUCCGAGUCCUUUGAAGCCUAUACUGAAUAACCAAAUAUCCCAUGAUAAAAACUAGACAGAAUUUAUUUGUGAAACCGUUUUGUGAUGUGUGCACUCAGCUCACAGAGUUCACAAUUUUCUUAAAUUCAGAGUUAAACGUUUCUUUUGAUUCAUCAGUUUGGAAACACUCUUUUUUAGAAUCUGUGAAGGGUCAUUUCAGAACCCAAUGAGGCCUACAGUGAAAAUUGAAUAUCCCUUGAUUAAAACGAGAAAGACGCUAUCUGUGAAACUGCUUAGAGAUGUGUGGAUUCAGCUCACAGAGUUAAAAUUUGUUUUGAUUCAAUAGGUUGGAAACACUCUUUUUGUAGAAUCAGUGAAGUUACAUUUUGGAGCUCACUGAGACCUAUAAUAAAAAAUGGUAUAACCCAUGAUAAAAACUAGAAUUAAGCUAUCUGUUUUAUUACUUUUUGAUGCAUAAAAACAACUAACAGAGUUAAACUUUUAUUUUAUUUAGUAAAUUGGAACCACUGAUUUUGUAGGAUCUGUGAAGGGACAUUUUGCAGCCUACUGAGUCCUAUAUUGAAAACUGAACAUCCCAUGAAAAAAACUAGAAAGAAGCGAUUGAUGAGAUUUCUUUGUGGUGUGUGCAUUUAGCUCAGAGUAUAACUUUUCUUUUGAUUCAACAGGUUGGAAACACUCUUUUUGUAGAAAGUGUGAAGGGACAUUUCAAAGCCCACUGAGCCCUAAAAUGAAAGAUAAAAUAUCUCAAUAAAAACUAGAAAGAAGGUGUCUGUGAAACUGCUUUGUGAUGUGUGGAUAGAGCUAACAGAGUUAAACCUUUCUUUUCAUUCAGCAAGUUGGAAAUACUCUUUAAGGAGAUACUGUGAAGGGACAUUUCAGAAAAAAACAGAGGUUAAUAUUGAAAAAUUGAAUAUCCCAUGAAGAAAAACUAUCUUUCAAACAGCAUUGUGGUGUGUAUAUUCAGCUCACAGAGUUAAACCUCUCUUUAAAUUCAGCAGAUUGGAAAUAUUUCCAUUGUUUCAGCAGGUAGGAAACACUCUUUUUGUAGAAGCUACAAAGGGACAUUUCAGAGCCCACUGAGACCUAUUAUAAAAAAUUGACUAUCUGACAAUAAAAACUAGAAAUAAGCUAUCAUCUGUGAAACUGCUUUGUAACAUUUGGAUUGAGCUCACAGAAUUAAAACUUUCCCUCGAUUCAGAAGGCUGGAACUACUCUUUUUGUAGAGUCUGCAAUGGAAUAUUUUGGAACCCACUGAGGCCUAUGAAGAAAAACUGAAUAUCCUUGAACAAAAAAUAGUAAGAAGCUUCAGUUAAGCUGAUUUGUGAUGUGUGUAUUCAGCUCACACAUUAAACCUUUCUUCUGAUUUAGUAGGUUAAAAAUACUCUUCUUGUAGCAUCUACAUGGGGACAUUUCAGAGCCCACUGAGUCCAAUAGUGAAAAAAUGAAUAUCCCAUGAUAACUAGAAAGAAGCUAUCUGUGAAACUGCUUUGUGAUGUGUGCAUUCCUCUCACAAAGUUAAAUUUUUCUUUUGAUUCAGCAGAUGGGAAAAACUCUUUUUAUGUAAUGUGUGAGUGGACAUUUCAGACCCCCUGAGAUGAGUAAUGAAAAACAAUAUUCUAUGAUAAAAUCGAGAAAGAAGCUAUCUGUGAAACCGUUUUGUGAUGUGAAGAUUUACCUCACAGAUUGAAACCUUUUUUUGGAUUCAGUGCAUUGGAAACACUCUAUUUGUAGAGUCUGUGAUGGGACAUUUCAGAGCCCACUCACACCUAUCGUGAAAAACCAAAUAUUCUGUGAUAAAAGCUAGAAAGAAGUUACCUGUGAAACUGCUUUGUGAUGUGUGGAUUCAGCUCGGAGAGUUAAACUAUUCUUUUCAUUCAGCAGCAGGUGGAAAACAUUCUUCUUGUAAAAUCUGUGAAAAGACAUUUCAGACACCCCUGAGACCAAUAGUGAAAAACUGUAUAUCCUGUGAUAGAAACAAGAAAGAAGCUAUUUGUGAAAGUGCUUUGAGAUGUGUGGAUUCAGCUCACAGAGUUAAACCUAUCAUUUGAUACAACAGGUAGGGAACCCUCUUUCUUUUUUUUGUAGAAUCUGGUAAAGGGCAUUUCAGAGCAAGCUGAGUACUAUAGUGAAAAACUGAAUAUACCAUCAUAAAACUAGAAAGAAACUAUCUGUGAAGCUGAUUUGGUAUGUGUGUAUUAAGCUAACAAAGUUAGAACUUCUUUUUGAUUCAGCAAGUUGAAAACAAAGUUUUUGUAGACUCUGCCAAUGGACAUUUCAGAGUAAACUGAGGCCUAUAGUGGAAAACAUAUUAUCCCACUAUAAAAAUUAUAAAGAAACUUUCUGUGAAACCGCUUUGUGAUGUGUGCUUUCAACUCAGUGAGUUAAACCUUUCUCCUGAUUAAGGAGUUUGGAAACACUCUCUUUGUAGAAUCUGCAAAAGGACAUUUUGCAUCUGACUGAGGCCUAUAAGGAGAAACCACAUAUCCAUUUAAAAACAAAAAAACAGAAAGAAGCUAAUUUUGAAACUGUUUUGGGAUGUGUACAUUCACUUGACAGUGUUAAAACUUUCUUUUGAUGUACCAGGUUGAAAACACUCUUUUUGUAAAAUCAGCAAAGGAAGAUUUCAGAGUGCACUGGAGCCUAUACAGAAAACCUGAAUACCCUGCAAUAAAAACUAGAAUGAAGCUAUCUGUGAAACUGCUUUGUUAUGUGUGGAUUCAGCUCGUAGAGUUAAAUCUUUCUUUUGAUUCAGCAGGUUGGAAACCCUCUUCUGACAGUAUCUGCAAAGGUACAUUUCAGAACUCAAUUUGGCCUAAUAGUGAAAAACUGAAUAUUCUGCUAUAAUUAAUAGAAAGAAGCUAUCUUGAAACUGCCUUGUGAUGUGUAAGUUCUGCUCACAGAAAAACUUUUCUUUAGAUUCAGCACAUUAGAAACACUCUUUUUGUAGAAUCUGUGAAUGGACAUUUCUGAGCCUACUGAAACCUAUAGUGAAAACAGAAUAUCUUGUGAUAUAAACUAGAAAGAAGCUAUUUGCAAAACUCCCCUGUGAUGUGAUUGUACAGUUCAAAGAGUUAAAUCUUUCUUUUGUUCAGAAGGUUGGAAGAGCUUUUUUUACAGAAACUGCUUUGGAGCCCACUGAGACCUGUAGUAAAAACUGAAUAUGCCAUCAUAAAAACUAGAAGGAAGCUCUCUGUGAAACUGCUUCCUGAUGUGUGCAUUCAGCGAACAGAGUUAAACCUGUCUUUGGAUUCAGUAGAUUAGAAACACUCUACCGGUAGAAUCUGCGAGGGGACAUUUUGGAGACGUUUGAAGCCUAUAGUGAAAAACAGAAUAUCCCGUGAUAUAAACUAGAAGGAAGCUAUCUGUGAAACUGCUUUGUGAUGUGUGAAUUCAUUUCACAGAGUUAAAACUUUCUUUUGAUUCAGCAGCUUGAAACACUUUAUUUGUAGAAUCUGCGAAUAGACAUUUUGGAGAACACUGACACCUUUAGUGAAAAACAGAACAUCCCGUGAUAAUAACUGGAAAGAAACUAUCUGUUAAACAGUUUUGUGAUAUUUGGAUUCAGUUCACAGAGUUACAUUGUUUUUGAUUCAGCAGGUUGAAUCACUCUUUUAGUGGAAUCUGUGAGUAUGCAUUUCAGAGCCGACUGAGGCCUUUAGUGAAAAACGGAAUAUGUCACAAUAAAAAGUAGAAAGAAUUUAUCUGUAAAACUGCUUUAUGAUGUGUAGAUCGUGCACACAAAGCUAAACUUUUUUUUUUUUUUGAUUCAGUAGAUUGUAAACACUGUUUUUUGUAGAAUCUUCCAAGGGACAUUUGGAGCCAUCUGCGGCCUAUAGUAAAAGACAAAAUACCCCAUGAUAAAAACUAGAAAGAAGCUAUAUGUGAAACUGCUUAGUGAUCAGUGGAUUCAGGUCACAGAGCUAAACCUUUCUUUUGAUUCAGUAGGUUGGAAACCCUCUUAGUAUCUUGGAAGGGACAUUUCAGAGCCCACUAAGGAGUAUAGUGAAAAAACGAAUAUCCCAUGAUAAAACUAGAAAGAAGCUAUCUGUGAAACUGCUUUGUGAGGUGUAGAUUCAACUUACAGAGUUAAACCUUUCUUUUGACUCAGCAACUUGUAAAAACUCUUUUUGUAGAAUCUGGGAAGGAAUAUUUUGGAGCCCACAGAGGCCUACAGUGAAAACAAAAUACCCCGCAGUAAAAACUAGAAGGAAGCUGUCUCUAAAACUACUUUGUGGUUUGUGGGUUUACCUAACAGAGUUAAACCUUUCUUUUGAUUUAGCAGGUUGUAAACACACCUUUUGUAAAAUCUGCAAAUUUACAUUUUGGAGCAAACUGAGUCCUAUAGUGAAAAAACAAAAAAUCCCAUGAUAAAAACUGGAAAGAACCUAUCUGUGAAAACUUGUGAUGUGUGCAUUCAGUUCACAGUGUUAAACUUUUCUUUUGAUUCAGCAGGAUGGAAACAGUCUCUUUGUGCAAUCUGUGAAUGGAUAUUUCUUAGCACAAAGAGGUCUACAGUUAAAAACUGAAAAUCUUGUGAUAAAAACUAGAAAGAAGCUAUCUAUGGAACUGCUUUGUCAGGUGCAGGUUCAACUCACAGAGGUAAACCUAUCUUUCAAUUCAGCAGGUUGUAAACACUCUUUCUGCAGAAUCUGCAAAGGGACAAUUCAAAUCCCUCUGAGUCCUAUAGUGAAAAACUGAAAAUCCCGUGACAAAAACCAGACCAAAACUGUCUGUUAAACUGCUUUGUAAUGUGUGGAUUUAGCUCACAGAGGUACAACUUUCUUUGUAUUUAGCAGGUUGUAAACACUCUUUUUGUAAAAGCUGCAACAAGAUAUUUCAAAGUCCACUGAGGGCUAUAUGGAAAAUGGAAUAUCCCACAAUAAAAACUAGAAAGUAGCUAUCUGUGAAACUUCUUUUUGAUGUGUGCAAUCAGCUCACAGACUUAAAUAUUUCUUCUCAUUCAGCAGGUUGUAAACACUCUUGUUUUCGAAUUUGCAAAGGGACACUUCACAGGGCACUGAGGCCUGUAGUGAAAACCUGAAUAUCCUGUGGAAAAAAAAAACUUGAAAGAAGCUAUCUGUGAAACUACUUUGUGAUGUGUGGAUUCAGCUGACAAAUUUGUAUUUUUUUUUUUUAUUUAGCAGAGUGGAACAUUAUUUUCUUAGAAUCUGCAAAAAGACAUUUUGAAGCCCACUGAGGGCUAUGUUGAAAAUCUGAAUAUUUCAAGAUAAACAGUAGAAAGAAGCUAUCUGUGAAACUGCUUUGUGAUGUGUGGAUUCAGCUCACAAAGUUAAACCUUUCUUUUGAUUCUCCAGAUUGGAAACACACUUUUUGUAGAAUAUGUGAAGGGACAUUUCAGAGCUCCCUGAGGCCUAUAGUAAAUAAAUGGAUAUCCCAUGAUAAAAACUUUGAAGAAACUACUGUGAAACUGCUUUGUGAUAUGUGGAUUCAACUCACAGAGUUAACCUUUAUUUUGGUUAAGCAGGUUGUAAACAUUCUUUUUGAAUAAUCUGGGAAGGGACAUUUCAGAGCCCACUGAGGCCUAUAGUGAAAACUGAAUACCCUGCGAUUAAAACUAGAAGGAAGCUAUGUGUGAAGCUGCUUUGUGAUGUGUGGGCUCAGCUAACAGAAUUAACCCAUUCUUUUCAUUCAGCAGGUUGUAAACACUCUUUCUUUAGAAUUAGCAUAUUGACAUUUCAGAGCAAACAGUCCUACAGUGAAAAACUGAAAAGCUCAUAAUUAAAAUUAGAAAGAAGCUAUCUGUGAAACUUUGUGAUGUUUGCAUUCAGUUCACAGAGUUAAACCUUUCUUUUCAUUCAGCAUGUUGGAAAUACUACUUUUGUAGGAUCUGUGAAGGAACAUUUCUUAGCCCGCCAAGGCCUAUAGAUAAAAACAAAAAAUCCUAUUAUAAAAACCAGAAAGAAGCUAUCUGUAACACUGCUUUGAGAGGUCUGGGUUCAACUCUCAGAGUUAAACCUGCCUUUUGAUUCAGCAGGUUGUAAACACUCUUUUUGUAGAAUCUGUAAAGGGACAUUUUGCAGCCUACUAUGUCCUAUAUCGAAAACUUGAAUAUCUUAUGAUAAAAACUAGAUAGAGCCUAUCUGUUAAACUGCUUUGUCCUGUAUGGAUUCAGCUCACAGAGGUAAAUCUUUUUUUUUUUUUUAUUUAGCAGGUUGGAAACACUCUUUUUGUAGAAGCUGCAAAGAGGCAUUUCAAAGUCCACUGAGUACUAUGUUGAAAAAUAGAAUAUCCCGUGAUAAAAACUAAAAAGAAGCUAUCUGUGAAAUUGAUUAGUGAUGUGUGGAUUCAGCACACAGAGUUAAACCUUUCUUUUCAUUCAGCAGGUUGGAAACAGUCUUAUUUUCAAAUCUGCGAAGGGACACUUUGAAGGCCACUGAGGCCUAUAGUGAAAAACCAAAUAUCCAAUGAAAACAACUAGGAAGAAUCUACCUGUGAUGUGUGGACUCAGCUCACAAACUUGUACAUUUCUUUUGAUUAGCAGGCUGAAAACACUUUUUUUUAGAGUCUGUGAAUAGACAUUUCGAAGCCCACUGAGGGCUAUGAUGAAAAGCAGAAAGAACCCAUCUGAAACUGCUUUGUGAUGUAUGGAUUCAGCUCACAAAGUUAAACUUUCCUUUUGAUUUUCUGGUUUAGUAAACACACUUUUUGUGGUAUAUGCAAAGGGACAUUUCAGAGCUUUCUGAGGCCUAUAGUGAAAAAGUGAAUAUCCCAUGAUAAAAACCUUAAAGAAGCUAUAUCUGUGAAACUGCUUUGUGAUAUGUGGAUUCAGGUCAAAGAGAUAAACCUUUCUUUUGAUUCAACAGGUUGGAAAAACUCUUUUUGUAGAAUCUGCAAAGGGGCAUUUCAGGGGCCAAAGAUGACUACAGUGUAAAACUGAAUAUCCCCUGAUGCAAACUACAAAGAAACUACCUGUGAAACUGCUUUGUGAUGUGUGCAUUCAGUUCACAUAGUUAAACCUGUCUUUUGAUUCCGCAGGUUGGAAACACUCUUUUUGUAGAGUCUGUGAAAUGCCAUUUUGCAGCCCACUUCAGGCCUAUAGAGAAAAACCAAAUAUCCCGCAAUAAAAACUAGAAAGAAGCUAUCUUUGAAACUGCUUUUGAUGUGUUGAUUCAGCUCACAGAGUUAAACCUUUCUUUUGAUUCAACAGGUUGGAAAAACUCUUUUUGUAGAAUCUGCAAAGAGACAUUUCAGAGCCCAUUGAAACCUAUAGUGAAAAACCAAAUAUCCCG